rnacentral:rRNA from 1 species
AAUACAUAUCAAUAAGCGGAGGAAAAGAAACCAACAGGGAUUGCCCUAGUAACGGCGAGUGAAGCGGCAACAGCUCAAAUUUGAAAUCUGGCUCCUUUGGGGUCCGAGUUGUAAUUUGCAGAGGGUGCUUUGGCAUCGGCGGCGGUCUAAGUUCCUUGGAACAGGACAUCGCAGAGGGUGAGAAUCCCGUACGUGGGCGCCUGCCUUUGCCGUGUAAAGCCCCUUCGACGAGUCGAGUUGUUUGGGAAUGCAGCUCUAAAUGGGAGGUAAAUUUCUUCUAAAGCUAAAUACCGGCCAGAGACCGAUAGCGCACAAGUAGAGUGAUCGAAAGAUGAAAAGUACUUUGGAAAGAGAGUCAAAUAGCACGUGAAAUUGUUGAAAGGGAAGCGCUUGCAGCCAGACUUGCCCGCAGUUGCUCACCCAGGCUCCGGCCUGGGGCACUCUUCGGCGGGCAGGCCAGCAUCAGUUUGGGCGGUUGGAUAAAGGCCUCUGUCACGUAUCUCCCUUCGGGGUGACCUUAUAGGGGAGGCGCAAUGCAACCAGCCCGGACUGAGGUCCGCGCAUCUGCUAGGAUGCUGGCGUAAUGGCUGUAAGCGGCCCGUCUUGAAACACGGACCAAGGAGUCUAACAUCUAUGCGAGUGUUUGGGUGUCAAGCCCGGGCGCGUAAUGAAAGUGAACGGAGGUGGGAACCCUUUGGGUGCACCAUCGACCGAUCCUGAUGUCUUCGGAUGGAUUUGAGUAAGAGCAUAGCUGUUGGGACCCGAAAGAUGGUGAACUAUGCUUGAAUAGGGUGAAGCCAGAGGAAACUCUGGUGGAGGCUCGCAGCGGUUCUGACGUGCAAAUCGAUCGUCAAAUUUGGGCAUAGGGGCGAAAGACUAAUCGAACCAUCUAGUAGCUGGUUCCUGCGGU